GAUGAAGAACGUAGCGAAAUGCGAUAAGUAGUGUGAAUUGCAGAAUUCAGUGAAUCAUCGAAUCUUUGAACGCACAUUGCGCCUCCUGGUAUUCCGGGAGGCAUGCCUGUUCGAGCGUCAUUAAAAUCACUCAAACUUAGGUUUACCUAUUGCUUGGUCUUGGAGAUGGAAGCCAAUUUAUUGGAAUCCUCUUCGAAAUUCAAUGGCGAAGACCCUUGCUCUCCCAAGUGUAGUAAUAACUUAUGUCACUGAAGGAAGCGAGAAAUCUUCUGCCGUAACCCCCAUAUUUUCUAUGAUUGACCUCGGAUCAGGUAGGGAUACCCGCUGAACUUAAGCAUAUCAAUAAGCGGAGGA
rnacentral:misc_RNA from 1 species